rnacentral:misc_RNA from 1 species
AAGUCGUAACAAGGUUUCCGUAGGUGAACCUGCGGAAGGAUCAUUAACACGUAUCCAAACGUUAAAACUUCCCCCGUGAACAUUCAAUCCUGCUCUUGUAACCCGCGGCGCUUGCUGAAAAUUGGAACAGUUACAAUUCGAGCGGUAGGUUUAUAGGCCUUGUUUCCCCAAGCAGUCAGUGUCUGAAAGCGUCAUUGAUUGUGCAAGGAUAGCGCUUCACGAUUCCUGUAGACCGUACACUCGGGCAGGAGCUAGGCCAAAGGGUCACCAUGCCCCCUUACAACCCCACAGUUUAUUGCAAAGCUCAAUGUAAUACAUUGGGUAAAAAAACUUGAACAACUGUUAACAAUGGAUAUCUUGGUUCUC